rnacentral:lncRNA from 1 species
UCAGCCAUCCUGGGAAUUCUGCACAGAAGGGAGAGGCUGAGACUGUAGCUGCCUCGUCAUCCCUGCCUGUUCCUCAGAAGCAGUCAGGAAGCAAGGAGACAGGAGCCUUCCCUGUGGAUAUGGAGAGGAGAGCGCCACUUCCUCCAGAGAGGAGAAGGAUGCCAGGGAGAAAUGAGGAAAUAUUAGCUCGAUAAGUGAAUAAUUAAAGACACCAGACAGAUGGAGGACAUGGUGGAGAAGAAUCAGAAGAUGACAGAGGGCUGGAGGGAUAAAGGAGCUGGAGAAUUAACAUCUGGCCUCUUGGAGGAGAGAGACUCACCAGCCCACUGUGGAUGAAGCUGCACCCAGUUAGCUCAAUGCCUUUCUUCAUCAAAAUACACGGGCAACUAUUAAGUCACGUGUGUUGGAUGCCCUCUGAGAGCAGGGCCAACGCCCCUUUGCCUUGGCCAAUUACCGCUAAUGACUUCUCAAACACGACAGCUGUUAUUCUUAACUACUGAAGCAAUCAGCCAAACCAGUGUUCAACUUUUCCCCCAAUGUUU